AAAACGGUCCCACCCUUUCCUAAAAGCACACGAGUGUGUAUAUAGGCUGCUACCAACAGCUCACAUACACCCUGAAUAGGAAGCACAUCUCUCUGACGGACACAAUCUUUUUUUUGAAGGAGGAUAUCGCUUGCUGGACUUACAGAAGUGCAACAAGAUCGGUCAUUGUUAUCUGUGGAGAAACAUGGGAAACGAGAACUCCAAGAACAAAGAACUGCAGAACAGGAACGGCAGGAUUCCUGAGAAGCAUAUAAAUGGAUCAGCGAACGGCCUCUCUGCGAACCUCUCAUCUAACGGCUUGGAGAUUUCUGCUAACGACGGUAAAGCUGCUGACGCUCCAGUUAUUUCUGAAAUCCUUGAAAUCGUCAUCCACAAGGAAGAGGUCAGGGAAAGUGAAGGAGAUCAAACGGAUGUUAGUCUCCCUGCCACCAAUCUACAGACGGAGUCAACCUCAAGUGGAGAAGAAGCAGCCGCAGCGAUGAUCGCUGUGCACCUAGACAGCGUAGAGUGUCCGCUUCGAAAAGCUGAAACAUCAACACAAACAGACGGGACAACUGAGGCAGAUAUCUCGACACAAACGUAUAAGAACGAGGAAGUCGCAACCACCGAUAACGAGGUUCCUGUUGAAGAAGCAGUCUCCAUGGAGACUGGAUCAACUGAAGAAGACCCUCUAAAUGUGUCGGCCCGCGUCAUUGUUCAGGAUGACGGGGAGUCCUCCGACAACCAGGCCGCUCGGACCAUCAAUGAGGGGGUGGUCAUGUAUGAAAAUAUGGUGUUCAGACUGGAACGGGCAGAACUUGAUGGAACUGAGUCAAACAUCACUGCAGAACCAGGUUUUAACCCAAAAGUAUCCGAGAUUGAAGAGGAAACAGUUGCAGAGGAAAAUAACAUUGGAGAAACAUCGGCAUCGGAGGUCUAUUACAGCUUUCCUAAAGUGGUGGCAGAUUGUGUUGAGGUGGUUUUUGCGGAUGCGCCUCAGUCCACCGGCUUUGCUGCUGUGGACUCGUCAGUGCUUGCAGACGGAGUAGCUACUGGAGACAAUGGCGAAGGAGCUGGACACACGUCAGUCGAUGCCGUGCAGACUGAAACCGCCAAACAUCAGUCCACUGAGGCCCGGAAAGCAAAUGCCGUUCGUUCCUCAGCCACCGCGCUGAUGGAGACAAUCUCUGAGGUUGUUUGCGAGGCACCUGAUCCCGCACCAGCAGACCACGAUGCGCCCGCAGAGCAUUCUUCUGCCCGUCUUGCAGUAGCACUUCUAGUUAAGGCAGAAUCUGCCCAUGAGGAGGUCACCGCUGAUGAUGCUGUUGCAACGGAGAUUGUACCAGAAACACCUCAACAAGCAAAACUGGACGACGAGCCCUCAGAGAAGUGCGAUAGUUGCCCUGAGCAUGACAUCAUCACUGCAGAGGCUCCCAAUAAGCCUGCCAUCAUUGAGGAGCUUCCCGUGGAACCAGAAAGAUAUGAAGAAGCAGAACCAAGUCCCGUACUUGCCAAAGACAGUGCUGAGGCAAUGUGGGAAGCGGCAAUCAAUGCCCUCUCUGAAGACUUCAGAGAAGAAUCUAGCAGCCUGCCUCGGGAGGCUGCAGCGGCCAAAGGCUUACCUCUGAUAGAGGAGGUGAUCACCGCGUCAACUUUUGCAGGCCUUCCAGGGGGCCAAGAAGCAAGCAUUGCUGUUGCAGAGGAGCUUUUUAAGAGGGUCACUGCAGAGGCUUUAUCAAAUGCAACUGAAACAGUAGCAGAAGACGCCACAAACACUGGUGAGGAGCCUGCAGAUGUGCCGCCGAUGGACGCCACGGGAGAGCCCGAGCUUUGCGUUUCGGUCCAAGAGAGACUCAGAGACGAGAACGUCGCCCCGGCAGAAGUACCAGCCAAUUCCAGGAGUUUGAGCCAUCUCGAGCGCCGACCAAAGUCCAGCGCGCAGAUCGUCGCCAUGGAGACAAUUGAAGACGGGGCUGUGAGACAGAUAAUGCAUGAAACAGAUACUUCUGCGGUGGAUGUCUCCCAGAUUACCACUUUGGAUGAGGCUAUGUCAGAGAGUUUCGACGCUGUCCUUGAGGCCAUUGUGGAAGAAAUCAUUAACGAGGACGUCUUCUCAGCUGACGGCCGCCUCGUGACUUCAGACGAGGUGUCACCAGAGGCCUUUGUAGAGGAAGACGCUGAAGAGGAUGCAGAGAAGGAAUCAAGUGUGAACUCAUCAGAUCCAACAGUGGACUCACAAAGUGUCACAAGAACAGACAUGGAAGCUUUAGCUGUUAGUUUGCAGUCGGCGUGUAAAUCAGUUGUUGAAGAAUCGACAAAUAGGCCUGGUAGUUUAAUGCUUCCUUCACUAGGAUACAGUAUCACGGUUACUGUUCAUGUGGCGCCAAAGCAGUAAAAUCCUUGUCUGAACUUUUUUGUUGAAAAUGAUUGGUCUGCCUCCAGGAUGUAAUGUGUUAAAUGAUUGAUGCGAAAGUAAUUACAACCCAAUUGUAAAAUUAUUUGUGUUUUAUCAUAACAAGCAAGUCCCUCUGUUUUUUUAUGCUUUAUUAACACUUGCUGAUUUUCCAAUAAAAUGAAAAAUGAAACCGUUCAUGAUUUUCUUCAUCAUCUGUUUGCAUUCCUUUGGUCGGUGUCAGGUGACAAAUAAUACCUACUUUCAAAAAAGUAGGGCCACUAAUGACUUUGAAAAACAAUGAAUUAGACAUUUGAACGUUAGCAGAUUCACUAAUGAUCUUUAAAUCAGAGUUGGUCAACGAUAACCCAGCAUCAAAACCCAGCAAAGGUAUUUGCGUUUCCUGACAUUCUUUUCUCCGGGCAAAACUCUCACACAUUGUUGAAUAUCAAUGAGUGAGGGGUGGGACACACGCAUUGAUAAAAGGCCGAUUGUUGACAGUGCCCCGAGUAGGCAGAGGCAUGGUUGGAAUUGUGUACUCCCAUCUCAAUGCUGCGAUUAAGACCCUCACUGCUUGCAUUAUAAGCCACGCUGCUCUAACGCAAUACUCAAAGGCUAAUUCUUUGUGAUGGUGUAUAGGAGACAGCUAAGCAAAAGCAAGGGUCAGAAUCAUUGACGGAGCCAGAGAGUGUGACUCUAGACUCUGACGAGGGAAACCAGGAGGACAAUAACCCAGAAGAGAAUCCAGUUAUGAACUUCUUCAAAUCUCUAACGACUUCCAAAAUAACCAAAAAGGAAACAGCUGCUCCUGUUGCCAUAAAAGACCAGUCCCAGAAGGAGAACCAACCAGCAGCAACCACUACCGUCGCACAAGUAUCUGAGCCGCCUGCAGCGCCCAAAGGAAUGUCUAUCCCACCGCCACCUCCUCCAGAGCCACCAAAAAUGGAUAUCAAGGCAGAACCAGCUGCUAAACCUGUCAAGGCCACACCAAGAGAAGAAGCAAAAGCUGUUGCCAAGCAACCCCAGUCCUCCAAAGGAAAAUCAGCAACUCUAAGCAAAUUUUUCCGUUCAAAGAAGGUGGAUUCUUCAAAAGCUGGCACUUUGGAGGCUGCAGCGAAACCAGAACCGCCGCCGCCUGUGCAGGAAGCACAGAAAACUGCCUCAACAUCCUCCUUCUUUUCUCUCUUCAAGCCUAAAGCCGCUGAUCCCAAAAAGGCGAGUCCUGCCCCGGCUGCAGCCCCAGAGACAGUGAAAGCCAAGGAGGAACCCAAAGCAGCAGCCAAGUUAUCCGAGGCCGUGGUAGAUAAUAAACCUGCUUCAGUGGCCUCCCAGGCCGCAGGUGAUGCAGCCAAGGCGCCAAAGAAACUGGAGAAGAGGAACUCCAUCCAUCAGUUCUUUAAAAUUCUGGGCCAGAAGCGUAACUCGACAGAUGCCGGGAUCCAGACAGAGACGCUCGCUGUCGCUCCGGUACCCGAGAAGGUCAAAUGAAACCAAAAGCGAGAGUGAAGUUUCCCUGUACAGACUCCUUCUCUUUUUCUUGCCCUUACUCGGUUUUCAUGUGCCUCAUCUGUCUCAUUAUUCUUUAAACUCUUAUAGAAUUGCUUUAACUACAUUUUGAUUUUGUUAUUGUUCAUAAGUUACAAUACGCACGGAAUAGUGAGCGGAAAGGCAAAGGCAAGUAGUGAGAAAGACACACAGCAGGUAGUUGCACAAGUGGUGAUUUGAAAUGGUCCAUGGUGAGGUUGUUGAGAUAUUUACAGUAUAUACAGUACAUAUUGUGUUUGGACCCUGUGCCUUGACAAGUAUAGCAAAAUCAGUGUGAAAUCUUUUCUACAGACAUUUAAUGUAACUUCUCUCUGUUCUUGCACAUGAAACAGAAGGUAAAAGGCAUCGCUUUUAGCUUUGUGUUUGUCAAAAAAAAACAUUUAAAAAAGGUUCUAUUUUUUACAGUUCACACAAAAGAAAAUCACGCAGCUGUGGCCGUGCAGAGGUUCCCACGAAAUUGCAUCGCACUUAAAUCCAUAUGUGAUAUAUUAACAUUAACAGCUCUGAAAAGAGCAAAUAAGAAGAGCAUCUUAGUGUAACAAGAAGCACUUAGCAGUCAAGUAUCUGUAUCGAGGGUGAUGGGGAACUGGCUAUAUGCGUAAAAAAAUGCAUCUGAGAGAUGUGUCUUUGUGCUACGUUUUUACUAAUGACUCACAGUUGAUUAGUUUUACAUUUGAACUUUGUCUCAUGUAACUCAGUGGAAGUCUUGUAGCGUCAGUCAGCAAUUAACAUCACGCUUUUGGUGGCCUUGCUUGAUGUAUGCAUGUGUGUGCGUGUGUGUAACUUCAGCUAUCCUGAAGACAAUAAACCUGUUUAUCAUUCGUUGUAUCUUCAUGUGUGUACGCGGCAACUGAGAAACCCCGUGAAGAAUAACCGGCUGUUGCAUUCGGCAUCUGCCAAAAUAUGCACCUCAGUAAGUUUGGCAAAAAAAAAUAAAAAAUCACACAUCAAAUCUUAUAAUAAAUAUUUUAAUUCACACUAAACUAAACUCAUAAGGCGUGACACAUGAGUCCUACCUUGGGCGUCGGUGGAAAUACUGCCAGCCUUACUCACCCAUGGGUUUAUUUUGUUGGCUGAAAAACAAGUGACGGUGAUGACGGGCAGGGCCGUACAAACCAAAACUCACCUCAGAGCCGCCCGCCGUCCGCCCGCCCGCCUGAUGGACGGAGAGCCGUCUGCGGUCCGUCACUACCAAAUAUUACAUUCAGAGACACCUUAGAGAUAAAAAGAUGUUAAACGAGAUCUAAGGAAUUGUUUCAGGUAAAGCAAAGCCUCCCAUACUCUAUUUUCAUUUAUGAGGUAAUUCCAAUGAUGGAG
ensembl:lncRNA